rnacentral:pre_miRNA from 18 species
ACUGCCACUGCCUACCAAUCUCGACCGGACCUCGACCGGCUCGUCUAUGUUGCCAAUCGACUCGGCGUGGCGUCGGUCGUGGUAGAUAGGUGGUCAUACA